rnacentral:rRNA from 1 species
CACGUAGGCACCAAGCGUUGUCCGGAUUUAUUGGGCGUAAAGAGCUCGUAGGCGGUUCAGUAAGUCGGGUGUGAAAACUUUGGGCUUAACCCAAAGCGUGCAUCUGAUACUGCUGUGACUUGAGUUCGGUAGGGGAGUGGGGAAUUCCUAGUGUAGCGGUGAAAUGCGCAGAUAUUAGGAGGAACACCGGUGGCGAAGGCGCCACUCUGGGCCGAAACUGACGCUGAGGAGCGAAAGCAUGGGUAGCAAACGGG